UACAGAGGGUACAAACGUUGUUCGGAAUCACUGGGCUUAAAGCGCACGUAGGUGGUUCGGUAAGUGCGAUGUGAAAGCCCCCGGCCCAACCGGGGAACUGCAUCGCAGACUGCCGAGCUUGAGAGCGGUAGGGGAGACUAGAACUCCUGGUGGAGCGGUGAAAUGCGUAGAUAUCAGGAGGAAUACCGGUGGCGAAGGCGAGUCUCUGGUCCGCUUCUGACACUUAGGUGCGAAAGCUACGGGAGCAAACGGG
rnacentral:rRNA from 1 species